UGUUGUUCUGUCUCAACCUUAAUUUCUGUAACUUGUCAUCAUUCCUUUUAAACUAUUCUUCCUUGAUAUAACUCAGCAUCUCAACGGGUGAUGUUUCUCGAUUACAUUAACCUAGUUACAAUAAUCAUCAUGGAUCUUUAGUUAUAACAGGCUCUUGCAGAAAAAGGAAAAGCGGCACUGAAGGUAAAGAAGGAAUAAUUCUAGUAAACUAGUUUUUUUGUGAACAGAGUCUGAGUAUUGCAUAUAACUUCAUUAGAACAAUAAAAAAAAAACGAUAAGUAGACUGACAAAUAAAGUACUGGUCUUCGGAAGGGGGCAGUCCUGUCUGCGAAUUCAUUUCUCCGUUUCACCAACUUUUGACAAAUCAAGUACUGGGCAUCGCAAGGGGGCAGUCCUGUCUGCGUAUUCAUUUCACGAACUUUAAACUUUCUCUUUACAGAUAAAUGAAAUAUAAAUAAUAUGAAACAUGAAUGCAUGGAUUAGUUUUUAUCCAUGUUUCUUUAACCUUAAAAAUUGAAAGAAUAUCCCAUAUUCCAAUUUGAUAUUAUUGAGGAAUGGUAGAACC
rnacentral:lncRNA from 1 species